UGAAAUCUGGCCCUCGGGUCCGAGUUGUAAUUUGCAGAGGAUGCUUUUGGUGAGGUGCCUUCCGAGUUCCCUGGAACGGGACGCCAUAGAGGGUGAGAGCCCCGUCUGGUUGGACACCGAGCCUCUGUAAAGCUCCUUCGACGAGUCGAGUAGUUUGGGAAUGCUGCUCUAAAUGGGAGGUAUAUGUCUUCUAAAGCUAAAUAUUGGCCAGAGACCGAUAGCGCACAAGUAGAGUGAUCGAAAGAUGAAAAGCACUUUGAAAAGAGGGUUAAAUAGUACGUGAAAUUGUUGAAAGGGAAGCGCUUGUGACCAGACUUGAGCCCGGUUAAUCAUCCAGCCUUCUGGCUGGUGCACUUGGCCGGCUCAGGCCAGCAUCAGUUCGGCGUGGGGGAUAAAGGCUUCGGGAAUGUGGCUCCUCCGGGAGUGUUAUAGCCCGUUGCGUAAUACCCUGUACUGGACUGAGGUUCGCGCAUCUGCAAGGAU
rnacentral:rRNA from 1 species